UGGGGAAUUUUGGACAAUGGGGGAAACCCUGAUCCAGCCAUCCCGCGUGUGCGAUGAAGGCCUUCGGGUUGUAAAGCACUUUUGGCAGGAAAGAAACGUCGCGGGUUAAUACCCCGCGAAACUGACGGUACCUGCAGAAUAAGCACCGGCUAACUACGUGCCAGCAGCCGCGGUAAUACGUAGGGUGCAAGCGUUAAUCGGAAUUACUGGGCGUAAAGCGUGCGCAGGCGGUUCGGAAAGAAAGAUGUGAAAUCCCAGAGCUUAACUUUGGAACUGCAUUUUUAACUACCGGGCUAGAGUGUGUCAGAGGGAGGUGGAAUUCCGCGUGUAGCAGUGAAAUGCGUAGAUAUGCGGAGGAACACCGAUGGCGAAGGCAGCCUCCUGGGAUAACACUGACGCUCAUGCACGAAAGCGUGGGGAGCAAACAGGAUUAGAUACCCUGGUAGUCCACGCCCUAAACGAUGUCAACUAGCUGUUGGGGCCUUCGGGCCUUGGUAGCGCAGCUAACGCGUGAAGUUGACCGCCUGGGGAGUACGGUCGCAAGAUUAAAACUUAAAGGAAUUGACGGGG
rnacentral:rRNA from 1 species